UACGUAGGGUGCAAGCGUUUGUCCGGAAUUAUUGGGCGUAAAGAGCUCGUAGGCGGUCUGUCGCGUCUGGUGUGAAAAUCCAGGGCUUAACCCUGGACCUGCAUCGGGUACGGGGCAGACUAGAGUGCGGUAGGGGAGAUCGAAUUCCUGGUGUAGCGGUGAAAUGCGCAGAUAUCAGGAGGAACACCGGUGGCGAAGGCGGAUCUCUGGGCCGUAACUGACGCUGAGGAGCGAAAGCGUGGGGAGCAAACGGG
rnacentral:rRNA from 1 species